CACAUAAAACUAAAGAGUACGAAUAACAGGCAAACAGCCAAAUAGAACUGGAAACAAAGCAGAAUGGAUGGCACCACCACGAUCACUCAGAACUUCAGAAACCACCACGGAGGCGAAGGACAAGGUGAAGGGUCGACUCCUUUUGAAUGUUGUAAUCCGCCAGAGUCCUCCCAUCUUCAAGCUGCUUACCAGCAAAUAUGAGCCUCUGCUGGUCUGGAGGAAUGCCUUCCUUGUCCUGAAUCUUUGCUUUCACAUUAUCAAUUGUAUCAGAACUCUCUACCUCCAAGGUUAUGGUCUUUCCAGUAAGUGUCUUCACAAAGAUCUGCAUCCCACCACGUAGACGGAGCACCAAAUGCAGAGUCGACUCUUUCUGAAUGUUGUAAUCUGCCAGUGUCCUGCCGUCCUCAAGCUGCUUUCCUGCAAAGAUAAGCCUCUGCUGGUCUGGGGGAAUGCCUUCUUUGUCCUGAAUCUUUGCCUUGACGUUAUCAAUUGUGUCUGAGCUUUCCACUUCCAAAGUAAUGGUUUUCCCGGUCAAAGUCUUCACAAAAAUUUGCAUUCCACCACGCAGACGGAGAACCAAGUGCAAGGUAGAUUCCUUUUGAAUGUUGUAGUCUGCAAGAGUUCUUCCGUCCUCCAACUGUUUACCUGCAAAGAUGAGCCUCUGCUGAUCUGGGGGGAUACCCUCCUUGUCCUGGAUUUUUGCCUUGACAUUGUCAAUUGUAUCGGAGCUUUCCACCUCCAAGGUGAUUGUCUUCCCAGUAAGCGUCUUUACAAAGAUCUGCAUUCCACCACGCAGACGGAGCACCAGGUGAAGAGUAGACUCCUUUUGGAUAUUGUAAUCGGCAAGGGUGCGGCCAUCCUCUAGCUGUUUGCCGGCAAAGAUGAGCCUCUGCUGAUCUGGGGGUAUGCCCUCCUUGUCCUGGAUCUUUGCCUUGAC
rnacentral:lncRNA from 1 species